rnacentral:rRNA from 1 species
GUGAGGAAUAUUGGUCAAUGGGCGGGAGCCUGAACCAGCCAAGUCGCGUGAAGGAAGAAGGAUCUAUGGUUCGUAAACUUCUUUUGUGCAGGAAUAAAGUGGGUUACGUGUAACCUUUUGUAUGUACUGUACGAAUAAGGAUCGGCUAACUCCGUGCCAGCAGCCGCGGUAAUACGGAGGAUCCGAGCGUUAUCCGGAUUUAUUGGGUUUAAAGGGUGCGUAGGUGGAUUGAUAAGUCAGCGGUGAAAGUUUGCAGCUUAACUGUAAAAUUGCCGUUGAAACUGUCGGUCUUGAGUGCAAAUGAGGUAGGCGGAAUGUGUUGUGUAGCGGUGAAAUGCUUAGAUAUAACACAGAACUCCGAUUGCGAAGGCAGCUUACUGGGAUGCAACUGACACUGAUGCACGAAAGCGUGGGUAUCAAACAGGAUUAGAAACCCCAGUAGUCC